rnacentral:rRNA from 1 species
GAUGAACGCUGGCGGCGUGCCUAAUACAUGCAAGUCGAGCGAACAGACGAGGAGCUUGCUCCUCUGACGUUAGCGGCGGACGGGUGAGUAACGCGUGGAUAACCUACCUAUAAGACUGGGAUAACUUCGGGAAACCGGAGCUAAUACCGGAUAAUAUAUUGAACCGCAUGGUUCAAUAGUGAAAGACGGUUUUGCUGUCACUUAUAGAUGGAUCCGCGCCGCAUUAGCUAGUUGGUAAGGUAACGGCUUACCAAGGCGACGAUGCGUAGCCGACCUGAGAGGGUGAUCGGCCACACUGGAACUGAGACACGGUCCAGACUCCUACGGGAGGCAGCAGUAGGGAAUCUUCCGCAAAGGGCGAAAGCCUGACGGAGCAACGCCGCGUGAGUGAUGAAGGUCUUCGGAUCGUAAAACUCUGUUAUUAGAGAAGAACAAAUGUGUAAGUAACUAUGCACGUCUUGACGGUACCUAAUCAGAAAGCCACGGCUAACUACGUG